CUUGGACACCAUUCUGCUGGACCUGUGAGCCUAAACAUACAGCAAUGAGCACUCUGGCUUCUUCACUUGCUCUAAUGGGUGGCGUCUCCACUAUGGAGGACUGUUCCUAUCAUCGUCUUCAGGAACACUUGGGUCUGUCACAGAAAAAUGAAAGUACAACAGGUCUGCGGCCUGUGGUGCACUGAACCAAUGAAUGAGAAGUCCUCAACUUUCACCAGCUAUGUCUUAAUCUCAACAGCCUGGGUGAAUUACUUCAUAGCUUGGGAACCAACGGAAUUUUGUGGAAUUUCAAAAAUGACUGUUCCAAGAGAACGGGUCUGGAUACCAGAUAUAGGUAUCCAAGAAGACCUACAGGGAGGUGAGAGCCCUGGUGGAACAGUGCAAGGAAAAUUUACCUCUCCCUCAACAAAACGAAGGAGCUGAUCUUGGAGAUGGCCGAGAGAGAUCGACCCCAUCCACAUGGACGGGGCCGCAGUAGAGCAGAUCAAAAGCUUCAAGUUCUUCAGCGUGGAUAUCACUGAGGACCUGAAAUGGUCCCUCCACACCGACACUGUGGUGAAGAAGGCACAACAGUGCCUCUUCAACCUCAUGAGGCUGGAGAAAUUCGGCUUAUCCCCUAAGACCCUUAAGAACUUCUACAGAUGCACCAUUGAGAGCAUUCUGUCGGGCUGUAUCACUGCCUGGUAUGGCAACUGCACCACCCACAACCGCAGGGCUCUCCAGAGGGUGGUGCGGUCAGCCCAACACUUCACUGAGGGCACACUGCCUCCAGGACAUCUACAACACCUGGUGUCAUAGGAAGGUCAAGAGGAUAAUCAAGGACCUAAGCCACCCAAGCCACGACCUAUUCAUCCGCUACCAUCUAGCAGGCGGAGACAGUACAGGUGCAUCAAAGCUGGGACGGAGAGACUAAAAAACAGCUUCUUUCUCCAGGCCAUCAGACUGCUAAACAGUUAUCACUAGACGGCCUCCGCCCAGUACCUUGCCCUGCACCUAGCCGGCUACCACAGGGAACUCUACCCUGCACCUUAGAGACUGCUUCCCUAAGUACAUAGUCAUUGAACACUGGUCACUUAAAUUAUGUUUCAUAAUGUGUAUUGGUCAAAAAUGGUUUGUGAUUAGAAACAGAUAAGAUUAACAUUCCUGCAACAUUAUUUUGUUAACUUAAUUUCUCAGAUAAAAUUAACUCGCUUUAUAAGUACUGUAUUAUCAACAUAGCUCAUCCAUUUAACUACUGCUGUACAUACAUUUUUCCUACAUAUAUUGUUCAUACUGUCUACACACCAGGUCUUUAUAUUCCGGACUCUGACAUUGCCCUUUUUGAUAUUACUCGAUCUGAUAUCUUAAUUUCUUGUUUCUUUUUGUGUAUUAGUUUUGUCCCGCUAGAUAUUUACUGCAUUGCUGGAGCUAGAAACACAAGCAUUUUGCUGCACCUACUUUAACGUCCUGUUAUGGAGACGCAGGUACAGUUGGUGAGUUUUAUAUAAACGAACAUGGCGCGAUACAAAACAAGCGAAGCGUCUGACAUGAAAACAGAAACAAUACUGCCUGGUGAGAAAAACUACAGGGGAUCAAUAAUCAGGGUAGUGAGAAAGUCCAGGUGUGCCUAAUGAUGGGGCACAGGUGUGCGUAAUAAUUGUUGUCAGGUGUGCAUAAUAAUGGGUUGCCAGGACCGAUGGUUAGUAAACUGGCAACGUCGAGUGCCGGAGCGGGAGUAGACGUUACACUACCGCUAAUCUGUGUACGGGACAAAUACACUUUGAUUGGAUUAUUUGUAGUUGAUUGUCAACCAUAGAAACCAUGAUGAUAUACUGAUAAAAAGUUAUCAUCUUUCAGCUUGCCUUUGUAGGGAACAAACAAUGGGCAUUGGAGCUGAAUAUGAGAACCCUAUGUCUCUGUGUGUUUAAUGCGCUGUUUCAGGGGAAAAAUACAAAGCUGCUUUUAUGAAAAGUCUGUUUGAUGUCCUUUGAAACCGGAUCUCAGUCUGGGAUAAGAUGAACAACAUUUUUUGCCUUCGCACUGUCCCACUGAACUAUACUUCUGAACUUUACUUCCUUUACUAACUGCCCCAUUAGAUGUUUUAUAAAUGUUGUAACUUUGUAAAUCUUUUAAUUUUGGGUCCUUCAUAGUAGCUGAAGAGGUCCAUCAGCCACUCCUUGGGCUACAAUACCUAUUUUGCCAAUUGGCCUGGACCCCUUUUACUGCGGAUACGGAGUCCCGCCGAUCCUUCACGACUGGUCUACCGACGUGAUCCGCCCGAGGGGGUUUUCAACAAGCUCCUCCGUCGCGACUUCCUCUGAAUGCCCGUCUGCUAGCCGUCUAGAGCAUAUCAGACUGUUAGUUGAAGAGGUCCAUCAGCCAAUUUUCUUGGGUUACAAUACCUAUUUUGCCAAUUGGCCUGAACCCUUUUACUACACGGAGCCCUGCCGAUCCAUCACGACUGGUCUGCCGACGUAACCGCCCGAGGGGGCUACAACUGACUCUUCCGUCACAACGUCCCCCUAAGGCCCUUCUGCUAGCCCCGGCUAGAUGUCUGAAUCGCAGUGUCUCCAGCCCGCCUAGCUCCAUGAUCACUCGGCUACGCAUGCCUCUCCCUAAUGUCAAUAUGCCUUGUCCAUUGCUGUUUUGGUUAGUGAUUAUUAU